GACGAACGCUGGCGGCGCGCUUAACACAUGCAAGUCGAACGGAAAGGCCUGCUUUCCCUUGUGGAUUGCGGGUACUCGAGUGGCGAACGGGUGAGUAACACGUGAGUGAUCUGCCCCCAACUUGGGUAUAAGCCUGGGAAACUGGGUCUAAUUCCCGAUAGGACUGCAGGGUGGUGCCUGUGGUGGAAAACGAUUUUCUAGUGGUUGGGGAUGAGCUCGCGGCCUAUCAGCUUGUUGGUGGGGUAAUGGCCUACCAAGGCGGCGACGGGUAGCCGGCCUGAGAGGGUGGACGGCCACAUUGGGACUGAGACACGGCCCAGACUCCUACGGGAGGCAGCAGUGGGGAAUAUUGCACAAUGGGCGGAAGCCUGAUGCAGCGACGCCGCGUGGGGGAUGACGGCCUUCGGGUUGUAAACUCCUUGCGACCGCGAGGAAGCCACCUGGUUGGAAGGGUGGUGACGGUAGUGGUAGAAGAAGCACCGGCUAACUACGUG
rnacentral:rRNA from 1 species